CGUAGGGGCCAAGCGUUGUCCGGAUUUAUUGGGCGUAAAGAGCUCGUAGGCGGUUCGGUAAGUCAGCUGUGAAAUCUCCACGCUCAACGUGGAGGGGUCAGCUGAUACUGCCGUGACUUGAGUCUGGUAGGGGAGUGCGGAAUUCCCGGUGUAGCGGUGAAAUGCGCAGAUAUCGGGAGGAACACCAGUGGCGAAGGCGGCACUCUGGGCCAGUACUGACGCUGAGGAGCGAAAGCGUGGGGAGCGAACAGGAUUAGAUACCCUGGUAGUCCACGCCGUAAACGUUGGGCACUAGGUGUGGGAACCUAUCGACGGUUUCCGUGCCGUAGCUAACGCAUUAAGUGCCCCGCCUGGGGAGUACGGCCGCAAGGCUA
rnacentral:rRNA from 1 species